GACGAACGCUGGCGGCGUGCCUAAUACAUGCAAGUCGAGCGAACCUUUAGAUUAGCUUGCUAUUCUCAAGGUUAGCGGCGGACGGGUGAGUAACACGUGGGCAACCUGCCCUAUAGACCGGGAUAACCCGCGGAAACGCGUGCUAAUACCGGAUAAUACAUUGAAACUCCUGUUUCGAUGUUGAAAGAUGGUUCUGCUAUCACUAUAGGAUGGGCCCGCGGCGCAUUAGCUAGUUGGUAGGGUAACGGCCUACCAAGGCGACGAUGCGUAGCCGACCUGAGAGGGUGAUCGGCCACACUGGGACUGAGACACGGCCCAGACUCCUACGGGAGGCAG
rnacentral:rRNA from 1 species